GAACCAGUACCGUGAGGGAAAGGCGAAAAGAACCCCUGUGAGGGGAGUGAAAUAGAACCUGAAACCGUAUACGUACAAGCAGUAGGAGCAGACUUGUUCUGUGACUGCGUACCUUUUGUAUAAUGGGUCAGCGACUUAUAUUUUGUAGCAAGGUUAACCGAUUAGGGGAGCCGUAGCGAAAGCGAGUGUUAACUGCGCGUUGAGUUGCAAGGUAUAGACCCGAAACCCGGUGAUCUAGCCAUGAGCAGGUUGAAGGUUGAGUAACAUCAACUGGAGGACCGAACCCACUGACGUUGAAAAGUCAGGGGAUGACUUG
rnacentral:rRNA from 12 species